GACGAACCGAGCGAACGUUGUUCGGAAUCACUGGGCUUAAAGGGCGCGUAGGCGGGCUGGAAAGUCCGUGGUGAAAUCCUCCGGCUCAACCGGAGAACGGCCUCGGAUACUUUUGGCCUGGAGGGAGAUAGGGGCGUGCGGAACUGUGGGUGGAGCGGUGAAAUGCGUUGAUAUCCACAGGAACUCCGGUGGCGAAGGCGGCACGCUGGAUCUCUUCUGACGCUGAGGCGCGAAAGCCAGGGGAGCGAACGGGAUUAGAUACCCCGGUAGUCCUGGCCCUAAACGUUGGGAACUAGGUAGUAGCCCAGACAUGGGGUUACUGCCGGAGCAAAAGUGCUAAGUUCCCCGCCUGGGGAGUAUGGUCGCAAGGCUGAA
rnacentral:rRNA from 1 species